UACGGAGGAUGCAAGCGUUAUCCGGAAUGAUUGGGCGUAAAGGGUCCGCAGGUGGCAGUGUAGGUCUGCUGUCAAAGAAUGAGGCUUAACCUUAUCAAGGCAGUGGAAACUACACAGCUAGAGUACGGUCGGGGUAGAAGGAAUUCCUGGUGUAGCGGUGAAAUGCGUAGAGAUCAGGAAGAACACCGGUGGCGAAAGCGUUCUGCUGGGCAGUGGCUGACACUGAGGCGCGACAGCGUGGGGAGCAAACAGG
rnacentral:rRNA from 1 species